AAAACAUAGCCCUUGAAAUAAUCAAAGGUGUAACCUGCCCAAUGGCUAUAUAAUUAAGAAAAUUAAAAAUUUUCUAAAAUAGCUUAAAGGACGCAGUAUCUUGACUGUGGUAAUGUAGCAUAAUCACUCGCCACUUAAUUAGUGGAUAGUAUGAAUGGUUGAACGAAUAUUACACUGUCUUUUAAAGAAAAUUCAUGAAAUUAAAAUAAUAGUAAAGAUGCUAUUUAAGACUGUAAGACGAAAAGACCCUAUAGAGCUUGACUAUAAUCUAUAUUUAAAAAUAAUUAAAAAAAAACUUUAAAACAAUAUAUAGAUUGGUAGUUUAGUUGGGGCGACUAUCUUUUAAAAAUAACAAAGAUAAGCAAUGUUAAUAGAAAACUUAUUGUAUAAUAUAUACAUUUAACAAUUAUAAAAAUAGGCUAUAAUGACCCAUUAGUAUUAUAUAACAAAACUAAUGAUUAAUAAAUAAAAGCUACCUUAGGGAUAACAGGAUAAUUUUAUCUUAGAGAUCUAAUCGAAGAUAAAGUUUGUCACCUCUAUGUUGAAUUAAGAUAUCCAGAUAGUGCAGAAGCUAUCAAAGGUAGGUCUGUUCGACCUAUAAAAUCUUACAUGAUUU
rnacentral:rRNA from 1 species